CGGCAGGUGAGUUUUACCCUACUGAUCACCGAUCGUUGCUAUAGUAAUCCUGCUUAGUACGAGAGGACCAGCAGGAUCAGACAUUUGGUUCAUGCGCUUGGUUGAAAGGCCAGUGGAGCGAAGCUAUCAUCUGAAAAAUUA
rnacentral:rRNA from 1 species